rnacentral:lncRNA from 10 species
UGUCUCCAAGGUCGUAGAGAAGGGCAGGUCCACAGAUAGAAGUAGUCCAGAUCUCUGAAUAACCAUGUGAAAGGUUUCUUAUCGACCAGAAAUAUUCUCAAUAGGAUUUUGAUGGAAUGAGGAAUCAACUUUUACCUAGAAGGAAAUAUGGCUGAUUAACCAUUAGGAUGUCAAUGGUUGUGAUUUUUGGGUAAUUUCCACUUUCUUUCUUAUGUUCUCUGU